CGGGCCAAUAGCGCCAGAGGGCGCUCAGUAUAAAAGUAGAGGUGAGCUCCAGUCUGACGUUGUUUGCUGUUGACACACCACGCUUCCGUGUUGAGCUGUCUGUGCGCUGAGUACAGGAACGGACGGGCGUAUUUACCUCCACAUUGUGGGUGAGGUGGUUCCUGCAAAAACAGUGCCAACAUUUGAGCGUUCCCAUUUGGGUGCAAGUGUGGAGAGCUUGCUAAUUGGAAUCUCGACUGUCACACAACGCUGCUGCUUUGCCUGCACUAAGUCACUGCUUACUUAGCGGUUGCGAGAGGGAGACCGGCGGCCUGGGACACGCCCCCCCACCCCCUCUUCCAAAAUCGAAACAAGGAGCGGCUGAUCGCAUUCAUUUCGGAUUGGAUUGGACUGGGUUGCUCAUUUUGCUGUGCCGUCGAGCAUAGGGAUUUUAUGGGUUUAUUUUGACAUGUUUAUUUCUUUUAUUGCCUGUAUUUUUAACCAAUUGUCUUUUCUUAUUUUUAGUUUCUAGACUGCCGGUGGUGCGCUCAGGCCCUGGAUGCGGCGUCCCUUUUUGGUGUGACUGUAGUGAUCAAUACCAAUAGGUGGAGGGAAUUACAAGGAGUGAGUGACCUCACUGGUGGUUGUUUUGAUUUCUUUGCUUUGGAGCCUACCAUCCAGGACCUGGCUGUAUCCACCGGGCACACUCGUGAUGGGUCAGCGAUGGAGAGAGGCUGGUUCAACAAGCUGGAAAUUGUUGGAAUCAAGGCCCAAGGAAAGGUUGCUAAUAUUUGGUGCUGGAAGGGUUCAGAUGAAGACCAGAGUCAGCAGUGAUGUGGCUGUGCUGAUGGACUGGUUGUGAGUUUGGGUAAGCUGUCUGAAAAUAAACGCCUAUCAGUAGACUUAUGACGCUGCUGGAUUUCCUCUCAUACAAACUGUUCCUGAAAAUCCAACACGUGGGGAAGACUGGUCCCCCCUUGUGUGAUAAACUGGUGGCUUUUUGGGCUGCAUGUUAGGGCAGUCAGUGAUUAGCUUGGAUUUUCCCAUAGAGCCUUAUCAGUAGGCCAAGUAAAGGAUGGAAAUCUUGUUCCCAAUCGCGCAAGCUUUCCUGAUGAUGCAGUUUUUCAAGAACAACCGCUUAAGUCAUGACCUCAUUGUCCAAGCAAGAAUUCCUGCACUUGUAAUUUAUGAAAUCCGGGUCUGGCUUGAUGCUGUUAGAUGCCAUUAAGAGAGCUGAAGCACCAUAUCUGCUGCCUGUCCAGGUUUUUCAAUACCUCCAGAUGCUUUCAGCGCAUAUUUCGAAAAAUGUAUCUCUGCAAAGGCAGCAGUUACACUCGGAAUGAAAAAAGUCAAAGGCAAUUUCCCUGUUAUUAUGAUUGUGGAUAAAUUACAGGAGGUGUACAGCUGAGAGGCAACAUUUUGGAAGUUGUAAAAUUUUCUCAGAAAGGCAUGUUAUUACCCAGGAGGUGUGCAAAAUAACUGAAAUACUAACAAUAAUAACGUAGAAGCAAUCAAAGCAAAACAAAACAGAGAACAUUUAAAAUUUAAAGAGAUUUAAAAUAAAGUGUAAGUAAUAAAAUAUUGAUGAAAACUGAAAACAAUGAAUAUAGCAUAAAUGUUAUAAAACAUAAUUUCUCCUACUGUUUCUGUGACUUAACCCAUUUAAUCCCACCGGCAACAAUUGCUGCCAGACAUUUUUCCUAACUUCUGGAAGCUCUAGAUCAGUGGUUCUUAACCUGGGUUCUGUCGAACCCCAGGGGUUCGAUGAGUCGGUCUCAGUGGUUCGGCGGAGCCUCUGCCGCGGAGGUAAAGACACACUUGUUAAAAGUCGUGAUGACACGUCCCACUUGGCCAUCACUUGCUGCAGGGGAUCACUUUACAUUGCGUGGCCAAUCGGUGCUGCGGGGAAUUUAAUGCACGCAGUGGUCAACGGCUGUGUAUGUCGUGUGGUUUCUUUCUUAAUAUUUGAAUCCAUGCUAAAUAUGUCGAGCAAAAAUUGUUCUAGAGUCUAGAGCAAUUGUUUUGACUUUUGGCAGCAAAUUGAAGUUUUAAAAUAAAAUAAUAAUGUGUCUACUCUAAGCAAUAUCAAUUUCAUGUAUCUAGUGUGAAAGGUCACAUGACCAGACCUCUUUACUUCCUGCCUGUGCCUCUCUUCAUGUGCACAUUGUUAGAUAUGAAGGCACGUUUUGAUAUGGGUGAUAUGACUCUUCAUCCAAGAUCCCACUGUGUCAGUGGGUGGCAAAAGUGCCCAAGAAAGACAAAAGAUCUCAAAACAGAUUUUCUAUUUCCAUAUUUAGUCAGUCAAAACGUAGUGCCCCCAUUUAUGUGCUGCACAGUAAAAGCAAAGUAAACAAAAGAAACAAAAAACUUAGCUGCCCACCUGAUGCUGAAGUUUUCUGAUUCCAGAUUCCAAAUCAUUGCUAAAUUUAAACUUCACUUCUCCAUUGUACAAACGACAUCAGCAGUUAAAACUGCAUCAGUGGAAAUACAUUUCUUCAACAACAAACUUGGAGAUUUAUGAAAUCCUGUUUUAGUUUGUGCCCAAGUACUGAAAGUAAGUCCUAAAUAUGAAGCAUGGAGCUCGGCGCCACUUAGAAAGCCUUCACCCAGAAGGCCUUCUGGGUAAAAGUUAGAUUGGACACUAGACUGUGAUUAAACUACUUCAGAGCUUAUUCCUCACCCAAUUUCAACUAAGAAACAUCUUUAACAUUUGCCAAUUUAACAGGAAAUCACUCAUUCAUUUUCUAUGCUCAUCUCUAGCAGUCAACAGGCAAGAGGUGGUCCUGCACUCCGAAGGGUCCUUCAGUGCAAGUUAAAGAGGCCACUUAACCUAGCCUGCAGGUCUUUGAGCAUUUGGUAACCAGAGUAUUUGGAGAGAACCCACAGAUGUGCAGAGAGAACACGCAGACCCCACGCAAGAAGGAGCCAGCUGGGACCUGAACUCAGGAUCUUUCUGCAGCAAGGCAACAGUGCAGCCACACAAACAGCCAGGAGUCUAGAAAUGAUUUCAUCGCAGCUUUGACGUCAUUAUCCUUUAAUACAUUGUUAUGCAUAGUGGUUUGUGCAUAUUUUUGCAAGGACUUUAGUAUUAAAUAGAGGUGCAACAUCUUGCGACACAAAAUAUCACAAAAAAGCUAAAUAUAUUUUAUUACAGUUAAGGAUGUGUCUCACAAAGUGUCAUCGAGUUGCUAAUCAUCAAGAACCAGAAAUAUUAAAGUGAGUGCUUUAAGCUCCCGUUUCCAAUUUUGGGAUUUAUUUUGACGUCAGACAGGAACAUCCCAAUUUUUUAGAGGUCUGAUGCCAUGCUCCACUCAGACUUACACUCACUGGCCAGUCUUUCAGUUUUGUAUAGUUUUUUUUUUUUUACUCAUAAUUCCUGCCCUAAACAUUAAUGUUCCUUCAUUUCACAGCUCUCCACUAUUUCUUGAUCCCUUACUUUUCUUUUAAAUCUGCAAAUCAGUGACGUGGAUUUGGAGUUAUCACAAAUCAUUUGGACUUCACCUCUCACCUGAUUUGUAACACUAAACAACAGCAAAUCUACAUGUUUUUUUUACCUCCAAAUGUAUUGUUGUUGACGCUGCUGAACGAUGGCUACAGUUGUUAUGAUGAAGAGAACAAGGUCACAUGACAGAUUUGUGGCAUCUUUAAUUGUGCUGCUGGCGGGGACUCAAGGCUGUUUGACAAAAGGAACGCUGCACCAAGUCACCCCUGAUUGAAAAGGCAAAUGACUAAGAUGAAAUUAUGCAACAUUUACUUAUACUGAGGAUGCACUGAGUCACAAAGCUGUCUUACAAUAAAAUGCUGUAAUACAAGAUUCAAUAGAAAUUUUAAUGAGCUUAGGGAUGAAAAUUAUAUCAAGGAAAAAACGUAUUUAAAAUAAUUGCAUUUUUAGCAUAAAACAGACUGUUAAUACAACAAACUGGAAGUAAGCUUUAUUGAAAGUUCAUUUAUAUCAGGAAUUCAUAUCAAAGAGUUAAAAAUAUAUGGACUUAUUACAU